GUAACGAGUAAACCAAAUGGUAAUACACAAAACUUUUCUGUUCUAAUCAGUGUGAAAACUGGUUUUCGCCGUUUUGGCGGACUUUUUCACUCUCAUUUUUGGGACUUCCGCGCGCGACCAGCUUGCUGGCGGCGGGUGGAGCGGUCUCCGGGGGCGUACACCUUUCCCCCGCGAGGCCAACAACAA
rfam:Phytophthora nicotianae strain race 0 contig477, whole genome shotgun sequence.